UGAGAUCAAGCUUGACUUACCCCUCUUUUACAGGUGUAAAAGAGGGGUAAGUCAAGCUUGAUCUAG